rnacentral:rRNA from 1 species
GAUGAACGCUAGCUACAGGCUUAACACAUGCAAGUCGAGGGGAAACGACAUCGAAAGCUUGCUUUUGGUGGGCGUCGACCGGCGCACGGGUGAGUAACGCGUAUCCAACCUGCCCACCACUUGGGGAUAACCUUGCGAAAGUAAGACUAAUACCCAAUGAUAUCCCACGAAGGCAUCCGAAUGGGAUUAAAGAUUUAUCGGUGAUGGAUGGGGAUGCGUCUGAUUAGCUUGUUGGCGGGGUAACGGCCCACCAAGGCAACGAUCAGUAGGGGUUCUGAGAGGAAGGUCCCCCACAUUGGAACUGAGACACGGUCCAAACUCCUACGGGAGGCAGCAGUGAGGAAUAUUGGUCAAUGGACGGAAGUCUGAACCAGCCAAGUAGCGUGCAGGAUGACGGCCCUAUGGGUUGUAAACUGCUUUUAUGCGGGGAUAAAGUGAGGGACGUGUCCCUUUUUGUAGGUACCGCAUGAAUAAGGACCGGCUAAUUCCGUG